AGCCUGGUGGAGUGGUCUGAGUGUUGGACUAUGACUCUGAAGUCCAUGGUUCGAAUCUCUGCUCGGCCA